CCCUUAGAGUUUGAUCCUGGCUCAGAACGAACGCUGGCGGCAGGCUUAACACAUGCAAGUCGAACGCCCCGCAAGGGGAGUGGCAGACGGGUGAGUAACGCGUGGGAAUCUACCUAGUUCUACGGAACAACAGUUGGAAACGACUGCUAAUACCGUAUACGCCCUACGGGGGAAAGAUUUAUCGGAAUUAGAUGAGCCCGCGUAAGAUUAGCUAGUUGGUGGGGUAAUGGCCUACCAAGGCGACGAUCUUUAGCUGGUCUGAGAGGAUGAUCAGCCACACUGGGACUGAGACACGGCCCAGACUCCUACGGGAGGCAGCAGUGGGGAAUAUUGGACAAUGGGCGCAAGCCUGAUCCAGCCAUGCCGCGUGAGUGAUGAAGGCCUUAGGGUUGUAAAGCUCUUUCAGUGGGGAAGAUAAUGACGGUACCCACAGAAGAAGCCCCGGCUAACUUCGUGCCAGCAGCCGCGGUAAUACGAAGGGGGCUAGCGUUGUUCGGAUUUACUGGGCGUAAAGCGCACGUAGGCGG
rnacentral:rRNA from 1 species